rnacentral:rRNA from 1 species
CCUACGGGAGGCUGCAGUGGGGAAUAUUGGACAAUGGGCGAAAGCCUGAUCCAGCCAUGCCGCGUGUGUGAAGAAGGCCUUCGGGUUGUAAAGCACUUUCAGUGGGGAAGAAAGCCUUGGGGCUAAUACCCUCGAGGAAGGACAUCACCCACAGAAGAAGCACCGGCUAACUCCGUGCCAGCAGCCGAGGUAAUACGGAGGGUGCGAGCGUUAAUCGGAAUUACUGGGCGUAAAGCGCGCGUAGGCGGUCUGAUAAGCCGGUUGUGAAAGCCCCGGGCUCAACCUGGGAACGGCAUCCGGAACUGUCAGGCUAGAGUGCAGGAGAGGAAGGUAGAAUUCCCGGUGUAGCGGUGAAAUGCGUAGAGAUCGGGAGGAAUACCAGUGGCGAAGGCGGCCUUCUGGACUGACACUGACGCUGAGGUGCGAAAGCGUGGGUAGCAAACAGGAUUAGAUACCCUAGUAGUC